UACAGAGGGUGCGAGCGUUGUCCGGAAUUAUUGGGCGUAAAGAGCUUGUAGGCGGUCUGUCGCGUCUGCUGUGAAAAUCCGGGGCUCAACCCCGGACUUGCAGUGGGUACGGGCAGACUAGAGUGUGGUAGGGGAGACUGGAAUUCCUGGUGUAGCGGUGAAAUGCGCAGAUAUCAGGAGGAACACCGAUGGCGAAGGCAGGUCUCUGGGCCACUACUGACGCUGAGAAGCGAAAGCAUGGGGAGCGAACAGG
rnacentral:rRNA from 1 species